rnacentral:rRNA from 1 species
GUAAAACGCUGGCGGCAGGCUUACUACAUGCACCUCUCACUAGAACGCUCUGGCUUCCGUCGGUGCGAGUACAGUGGCGGACGGGUGCGUAUCUCGUAUAUGAGAUGCCCACAUGCGCGGGAUAACCACGGGAAACCGUGCCUAAUAUCACACGUCAUCUGGACCCCGCGUGGGGGCGAGAUGAAAUCUUGGGGUUACCCAAACGCCUUUGGAUGGGUCUAUGUUGGAUUUGCUUGUUGGUGAGGCAACCGCUCACCAAUGCAACGAUCCAUACUUGGUCUGAGGUGACCAUCAGCCGCACUGGGACUGAGACACGGCCCCUACUCCUACCGGACGUGGGGAUGGGGAAUCUUGCGCAACGCGGUCACCCCUGACUGCCCCCAUGCCACGUAGACGAGGACGCCCCUAUGGAGGCUAUUCUCUUUUUCAGAACAAAUACACGCCAGUAGAUUCAGGGCCCUGCUGUUAUUCACGAAUGAGCAGCGGCUAAAUCUGAGCCAACCACCCGCGUAAUACCGAAGGUGCACUCGUUGUCGGGAAUCUUUGGGUGUAAAGGGUGCGCAUGGGGGGCAGCAAGUCUCGACGUGUAAACCCCAUGGCGCACCCAUGGAGGUGCAUUCGAAACUGUUGCUCUUGAGUCCCGGAGAGGCUGUCGGAAUUCGUGGUGUAGCGGUGAAAUGCGUAGAUAUCACGAGGAACACCAGAGGCGAAAGCGGGCAGCUGGACGGGUACUGACGCUCAGGCACGAAAGCGUGGGGAGCAAACAGGAUUAGAUACCCUGGUAGUCCACGCCGUAAACGAUGAACGCUCGCCGUUGCCCCGCUCAAGGGGCAGUGGCUAAGUUAACGCGUUAAGCGUUCCACCUGGGGAGUACGAUCGCAAGGUUGAAACUCAAAGGAAUUGACGGGGGCCCGCACAAGCGGUGGAGCAUGUGGCUCAAUUCGAUGCAACGCGAAGAACCUUACCUAGGCUCGAACGCUAGAGGACCGCUCCUGAAAGGGAGCUUCCCCUUUGGGGCUUCUAGCGAGGUACUGCAUGGCUGUCGUCAGCUCGUGUCGUGAGAUGUUGGGUUAAGUCCCGCAACGAGCGUAACCCCUGUUGCUAGUUACCAUCGGGUAAUGCCGGGGACUCUAGCGAAACUGCCUGCGCAAGCAGUGAGGAAGGUGGGGAUGACGUCAAGUCAUCAUGGUCCUUACGCCUAGGGCUGCACACGUGCUACAAUGGCCGGUACAACGGGUAGCCACCUCGCGAGAGGGAGCGAAUCCCUGAAAACCGGUCCCAGUUCGGAUUGGAGUCUGCAACUCGACUCCAUGAAGCAGGAAUCGCUAGUAAUCGCGGAUCAGCAAUGCCGCGGUGAAUCCGUUCCCGGGCCUUGUACACACCGCCCGUCAAGCCAUGGAAGCUGAGAACACCCGAAGUCCGUGACUCAACUCCGGCCUCGCGCUGGAGGGAGAGCGGCCGAAGGUGAGUUCAGUGACUGGGGCU